AUCCUGGUGGGAGACGGACCUGUGGAAAGCUGGCCCCACUACUGGAAGAAACAAGGGACCAGACACUGUAAAGGGACAGACCUGUUGGGAUGGCUGCCUCCCAGUCAUGCUCCAUUCCCUUAAAGAUGAUGAAAUAAAACUCAAGGAGUUUCAGUGCCCAAGAUUGCAAACCAGGAAGGUGCAGAAACAGAAUUUGAAUCCAAGAUCAACUCACUCUGAAGUCCACAAUCAUUUUAUUCUACUCUGCACAAUACUAACUAUAUUAUACCCCACAUCACACUAUACUAUAGCAUACUAUACUAUGCAGCCUCCUUACUUUCUAGGGGGUGAAUUUGCAAUUCUGGAAAAUAUACAUACUAUAAAGUUUCAUAAGUGUUAUUAAAUAACUAUUAUUGAGUUUAAAGACAGGUAUAUUUGUUAAGUUGCUGGUAAUGACUAUUCUUAUUUUUAAUUUCCAAAUGAUAACCCAAAAUAAUUUUGCAUGGGAAAGAGCUUUUUUGCCCCUCAGAUUUUAAACUUUCCUACAGGGAAUAGAUUGAAAGGAGGUAGGUAGUUCCCUAACUCAAGAUCUAAGGCAGGGACAAAUUUCCUAUUUAGUAAUUCAGGAACUCAUAUACAUUUCCUCCUGUUCAAGGGACAGAGAGGCCAGAGCCCUUUCAGCUCUUGUCUGAAGAUGAGCACGCACAGAUGAGUAUGGACAUGGGGAGGUCAUGAGGCAGUAGGAUACCAAGACAAAAAUACAGGGCUCCAUUCUCGAGUCUGUGGCUCAUGAGCUGGGGAGCCUUGGGCAAAUGAAUCACUUACGCUCUUGGGAUCUCAGUUUUCUCAUUUUUAAAAAGAGUGUGUUGGACUAGAUAUCUUAUAUAAGGUCUCCUUUAGGGUAAAAAUAAUUUAAUUUUAUACUUUAAAAAAUGGGGACUGUGUAAGUUAUACUGUUAUAGUUUAAAAAAAACCCACAGCUUACAAAAACACUAUAUACACUAGCUAUCUAAAGGAAAUGCAACACAUUAAAAAAAAUCAAAUCUAUAGAUCUGGGUGAUAGAAUUUUCUUCUGAAUGUUUUUCUGCCUUUUGCAACUUCUGUACAAUGAAUAUGAAUUAUUUUUGUAAUCUGAAAUAAAUAUAUUUUGGUUUUUGGCA